CCGCGUCGGUCGCGCUGGGUGGUAUGGUUCCCCAGAGCCGGUUCUUGUGCUGCCUACCCCUUCAGGGGAAGAGUUCCAAACUCGAUGUAAGCCUCCAUCCGGCGCCCUCCAAAGCGCGCGGGAGGACAACGGAGCACCCCCCGCGUUCCACCGAGCCUCCUCGGUCGCGUGGCCCGCGGGGACGUGCGAUGCUCUCGGACCCAGCGAACGCCGUGGGCCGAGGACUCACGUACCGGUACCAAGUGAAGCAACGGUAUAACGCCGACGGCAGCUGCCGCGGCCGAGCGCCCCGCGGCGCGGGGCGAAGGCGCGCGUCGCUGAGGAAUGCUACCU
rnacentral:misc_RNA from 1 species